GUAGACUUAGUUUAACAAAAACAUUAGAUUGUGAUUCUAAAGACGGGGGUUAAAAUCCCCUUGUCCACC
rnacentral:tRNA from 2 species